GUCUUAAUAGCUUAAUGGUAAAGCCGUACACUGUUAAUGUAUUUAUCCUAGUUCAAUUCUAGGUUAAGACG
rnacentral:tRNA from 1 species